CGGUGCUUUACUGCGGGGCCGAUCGGCGAGAUUCACCUGCACAAUCGCUGGUUAUUAAAGAGCCGAUUGAGCUACUAAACAAGGAUACGCUAGAGCCGAAAUUGGCCUGUGAAGCAGAAAUAAAUAAAGCGGGUACAAGGGAAGCGAGAAGAUGGUGAAACCUAAGAAACGUAUAAGGAAGAUGCAUAAAAUAUCGCUGAGAUCCUGAGCGCCGGUGUUUCCCGGAAUCCUCCAUGUUAAUUAAUCUAAUGAAGCUCUACAUUCAGUCUCUGCGCUCCAGUAUCCGAGGACAUAAACAGCGGGAACUCGCCAGGUCAGAGCUGGCAGGAUGGAGGAUCACCCAUUGAUUCAUCUUGAGCUGGGGACAGUUUCCACUGAAGCAAAUCACUUCCGAGCCUCAUGGGUUCCAGGAUCGCGGCAGCGAAACGCUCUUGGGAAAAGAAGACUCAUUCUUAAUUUAAAGCUUUGUUUCUAAGCUAAUUUUGGGUCGGUAAGCGUGUGUCUCUCUGUGUAAGUACGGUGACAUUGAGGUACUGGGGCCUCUGGCAUAUUUAGGUCUAAAUUUUUGGAAAAUUUUGGGGAGGGGAAAAAGGAUUACAUCUGCAUUUCAGUACAAAAAUACUUUUUAC